rnacentral:lncRNA from 1 species
AGGUCAGUCCUGCACAGUUUAAGAUGGCCAAAAAUAACCACCCAACCGAUGAGGAGCCUCUCCAAACGAAAGACGAGGAGARUGCAGGCUAGGAGCUCUUUUUUCCCCUCCUGGACCCCACGGAGGACACUGAAACCAAUGAAAACUAGUGGUUGCAUUGGAAGCUGUGGCUGAAGGAAACAAGAUCCAACCACUUUUGUCACAACCUAAAUCAUGAGGGUGACGGAGGGCUGCGCGGACGGCAACACUUUAACAACUCAUUUCCAUUUUAAUAGACAAAAUUCUGACUCUGCUGCUAAACUGUUGUAUUUUGAGCACGUCAGCCUCCGAUUUGCCCACGGGCGUUCUCCAUUCACCGCGGACUUUCCUGUGUCCUUCAAGCCGGGAAGCGCACGGCCGGGAAGAGCACAGCAAUCCGGGGAUGCACGUCUCGGUCUCGGCUGCGGGCGUCCAGCCGGGUGUCUCGUGGGCUUUGCAGGGCAGCAGAAAAGCCGGCGUAGCACAGCUGGAGCAAAACAUCGCGGCCGAAGCCGCAAGUUAAAUGAGCCGCUCCGGCAGCAUCCCGYGGGCACCGCGGUGCAUCCCAGCAUCGCCGCUCUCGCCAGAAGCCAGGUCGUUCAUCUCAGACAGACGACGUGAUUUCCAGCACUGAAACAGAAACGGGAAAACAUGCAAUGGAAAAAAAACAAACCAACCAUCUGUUUUGUCUCAAGAGGCCUCCUCUUGUAAUGCUUAUACGUGUGAACUUUCCCCCUUWUUUAUAAAAUAUAUAAAAGUAUUUUUAAUACAUCAACCUUAGCAGAGAUUUGUACCAGCACCGUAGUAGUGUGCAGCAUUUGAAAUACAUUUGCAUUUGCUCUGAUGUGUUGUACAGUGCGUCUGCAGUAGCACCCGGUGUAACAGAGAGGGGUAAAGGAGCUGCCCAUGCAGGCGGUCUCUAACGAUAUUGUAAAUGCUCUUUUUCUGCAGAUUUUGCAAUAAAACUUGACAAACUCAUCCUGA